rnacentral:misc_RNA from 1 species
GAUGAAGAACGCAGCGAAAUGCGAUAAGUAAUGUGAAUUGCAGAAUUCAGUGAAUCAUCGAAUCUUUGAACGCACAUUGCGCCCCUUGGUAUUCCGAGGGGCAUGCCUGUUCGAGCGUCAUUAUAACCCCUCAAGCUCAGCUUGGUGUUGGGGCCUGCUGCACUGGCAGCCCUUAAAAUCAGUGGCGGCGCCAUCUGGCUCUAAGCGUAGUAAUUCUUCUCGCUAUGGAGUCCUGGUGGAUGCUUGCCAUCAACCCCCAAUUUUUCUAUGGUUGACAUCGGAUCAGGUAGGGAUACCCGCUGAACUUAAGCAUAUCAAUAAGCGGAGGA